rnacentral:rRNA from 1 species
AUUGAACGCUGGCGGCAGGCUUAACACAUGCAAGUCGAGCGAGCGGCGGACGGGUGAGUAAUGUCUGGGAAACUGCCUGAUGGAGGGGGAUAACUACUGGAAACGGUAGCUAAUACCGCAUACCAUCAGAUGUGCCCAGAUGGGAUUAGCUAGUAGGUGGGUGAAUGGCUCACCUAGGCGACGAUCCCUAGCUGGUCUGAGAGGAUUAACAGCCACACUGGAACUUAGACACGGUCCAGACUCCGACGGGAGGCAGCAGUGGGGAAUAUUGCACAAGGGGCGCAAGCCUGAUGCAGCCAUGCCGCGUGUAUGAAGAAGGCCUUAGGGUUGUAAAGUACUUUCAGCGGGGAGGCGUUACCCGCAGAAGAAGCACCGGCUAACGCCGUGCCAGCAGCCGCGGUAAUUC